GCACUGCCGAGGAGUCCCACAAUAGAACGAAGUGGCCGUCCAGUGC
rfam:Schistosoma haematobium scaffold273_19, whole genome shotgun sequence.